AUUGAACGCUGGCGGCAGGCCUAACACAUGCAAGUCGAACGAGUGGCGGACGGGUGAGUAAUGUCUGGGAAACUGCCUGAUGUAGGGGGAUAACUACGUGAAACGGUAGCUAAUACCGCAUACCAUCAGAUGUUCCCAGGUGGGAUUAGCUUGUUGGUGGGGUAACGGCUCACCAAGGCCACGAUCCCUAGCUGGUCUGAGAGGAUGACCAGCCACACUGGAACUGAGACACGGCCCAGACUCCUACGGGAGGCAGCAGUGGGGAAUCUUCCGCAAUGGACGAAAGCCUGACGGAGCAACGCCGCGUGUAUGAAGAAGGUUUUCGGAUCGUAAAGCUCUUUUGUUGGGGAAGCGGUAUCUGACCAGGAAGCCCCGGCUAACUACGUGCCAGCAGCCGCGGUAAUAC
rnacentral:rRNA from 1 species